CGCCUGUUUAUCAAAAACAUCGCCUGAGGCAAUACAACCAAGUAUAGGAGGUCCAGCCUGCCCAGUGACUAUAAUGUUCAGCGGCCGCGGUAUUUUGACCGUGCAAAGGUAGCGCAAUCACUUGUCUUUUAAAUAGAGACCCGUAUGAAUGGCCAAAUGAGGGCUUAAUGUCUCCCUUUUCAAGUCAGUGAAAUUGAUCUGCCCGUGCAGAAGCGGACAUAAAAAUACAAGACGAGAAGACCCUUUGGAGCUUAAGGUACAAAACUCAACCACGUCAAGCAACUCAAUGAAAAGCAAAAACUUCGUGAAACAUGAGAUUUUACCUUCGGUUGGGGCGACCACGGAGGAAAAAAAAGCCUCCAAGUGGACUGGGACAAACUCCUAAAACCAAGAAAGACAUUUCUAAGCCACAGAAUAUCUGACCAAAUAUGAUCCGGCCAACAGAGCCGAUCAACGAACCAAGUUACCCUAGGGAUAACAGCGCAAUCCCCUCCCAGAGUCCAUAUCGACGAGGGGGUUUACGACCUCGAUGUUGGAUCAGGACAUCCUAAUGGUGCAGCCGCUAUUAAGGGUUCGUUUGUUCAACGAUUAAAGUCCUACGUGAUCUGAGUUCAGACCGG
rnacentral:rRNA from 1 species